AUCUAUGGCCAUGCCACCCUGAACGUGCCUGAUCUCAUCUGAUCUCGGAAGCUAAGCAGGGUCGGUCCUGUUAGUACUUGGAUGGGAGACCACCUAGGAAAACCAGGUGCUGUAGGUA
rnacentral:rRNA from 1 species